rnacentral:rRNA from 1 species
UACGGAGGGGACUAGCGUUGUUCGGAAUUACUGGGCGUAAAGCGCACGUAGGCGGAUUGUAAGUCAGGGGUGAAAUCCCGGGGCUCAACCUCGGAACUGCCUUUGAUACUGCAAAUCUCGAGUCCGGAAGAGGUGAGUGGAAUUCCCGGUGUAGCGGUGAAAUGCGCAGAUAUCGGGAGGAACACCAAUGGCGAAGGCAGCUCGCUGGGACGGUACUGACGCUGAGACGCGAAAGCGUGGGGAGCAAACAGGG